GCUCUCUGGAGAAUCCCGUUUGCGGGUGCCGAAGGUGUAAGUGGAUCUGGAUCCAUGAAUCUCUCAGGCAAAAGGACAGUGUA
rnacentral:ncRNA from 1 species